GACGAACUGUCCUAACGUUGUUCGGAAUCACUGGGCUUAAAGGGCGCGUAGGCGGUCCGACAAGUCAGGGGUGAAAUCCUGCAGCUUAACUGCAGAAGUGCCUUUGAUACUGUCGGUCUCGAGGGAGAUAGGGGUGUGCGGAACUUCCAGUGGAGCGGUGAAAUGCGUUGAUAUUGGAAAGGAACGCCGGAGGCGAAAGCGGCGCACUGGAUCUCUUCUGACGCUGAGGCGCGGAAAGCUAGGGGAGCAAACGGGGAUUAAGAUGACC
rnacentral:rRNA from 1 species